UCCAAAUCUUACAAUGGCUGCUCACAGCUCUCUGUAACUUCAGUUCAGGGGGAUCUGAUGCCCUUAUACAGAUACACGUGUAGACAAAACAAUGCGUGGAGAUAACAUGAAUAAACUGAAAAAUUAUUAAUCAAUGAUGUGCAGCCUAAAGGAUACACAAUUGUGUCCCAGAGCUGCCAUUCGACAACGUCUAUGAGGGGUCUGUAUGUAAAAGGUGCUUGGUGGCCUGAGUUUAGUCCCCAGGACUCUUUUAGGAGGAGAGAGCCCACUCCCUCCUAGAGCUUGUCCUCUGACUGCCAUAGGUAUGUAGCACACAGCCUCCUUCUCUCAACAACUAAAGAAAUAAAUAGGAAAAAGAAAAACACAUGGCUUUAAUCCCAGCACUAGGGAUGCAGAGACAGGUAGAUCUCUAUGAGUUUGAAGAAGCUAGCCUGCUUUACAUAGUUAGUUCCAGGGCAGCCAGAGCAAAAUAGUUAGACUGUCAAAAAGAAAAAAAAAAAAGAAAGAAGGAAAGAGAGAAAGAAAGAAAGAGAGCCAC
rnacentral:lncRNA from 1 species